UACGUAGGGUGCAAGCGUUGUCCGGAAUUAUUGGGCGUAAAGAGCUCGUAGGCGGUUUGUCGCGUCUGCUGUGAAAUCUGGAGGCUCAACCUCCAGCCUGCAGUGGGUACGGGCAGACUAGAGUGCGGUAGGGGAGAUUGGAACUCCUGGUGUAGCGGUGGAAUGCGCAGAUAUCAGGAAGAACACCGAUGGCGAAAGGCAGAUCUCUGGGCCGUAACUGACGCUGAGGAGCGAAAGCAUGGGGAGCGAACAGG
rnacentral:rRNA from 1 species